rnacentral:rRNA from 1 species
AGCUUGCUCCCUUAGGUCAGCGGCGGACGGGUGAGUAACACGUGGGUAACCUGCCUGUAAGACUGGGAUAACUCCGGGAAACCGGGGCUAAUACCGGAUGCUUGAUUGAACCGCAUGGUUCAAUCAUAAAAGGUGGCUUUUAGCUACCACUUACAGAUGGACCCGCGGCGCAUUAGCUAGUUGGUGAGGUAACGGCUCACCAAGGCGACGAUGCGUAGCCGACCUGAGAGGGUGAUCGGCCACACUGGGACUGAGACACGGCCCAGACUCCUACGGGAGGCAGCAGUAGGGAAUCUUCCGCAAUGGACGAAAGUCUGACGGAGCAACGCCGCGUGAGUGAUGAAGGUUUUCGGAUCGUAAAACUCUGUUGUUAGGGAAGAACAAGUACCGUUCGAAUAGGGCGGUACCUUGACGGUACCUAACCAGAAAGCCACGGCUAACUACGUGCCAGCAGCCGCGGUAAUACGUAGGUGGCAAGCGUUGUCCGGAAUUAUUGGGCGUAAAGCGCGCGCAGGCGGUUUCUUAAGUCUGAUGUGAAAGCCCCCGGCUCAACCGGGGAGGGUCAUUGGAAACUGGGGAACUUGAGUGCAGAAGAGGAGAGUGGAAUUCCACGUGUAGCGGUGAAAUGCGUAGAGAUGUGGAGGAACACCAGUGGCGAAGGCGACUCUCUGGUCUGUAACUGACGCUGAAGCGCGAAAGCGUGGGGAGCGAACAGGAUUAGAUACCCUGGUAGUCCACGCCGUAAACGAUGAGUGCUAAGUGUUAGAGGGUUUCCGCCCUUUAGUGCUGCAGCAAACGCAUUAAGCACUCC